GGCUGCUGGCUGUACCUUGGAGAGCAGAUUACUUCACAUCUUCCCCUCCCAAUCUGGAAAUGUGUCAUCAAUAUCAGAAUGACCAGUUGUGGAUUACAGAACAAGGAAGAGGAAAGAAAUUACAUAAAGCACAGACAAACUGCAUAGAUAAGACACUGAACUGCACCUUUAAAAACAAAGUACUCGUGGGGCAUUGUCGGGGGUCUGGGCGUGAGCAUGUGGAGGUCCAAAGACAACUUCGUGGGGUUGAUUCUCUCCGCCCACCUUUGGGUGGGUUCCAGGAACUGAACUCGGGCCAUUGGGCCUGCAUGAGAACACUUUACCCCAGGGACUGCUCCCUGGCCCGUCUCAUCCUUACCAUCCUAACACUUUGGGAACUAUUUCUUGUUUAGAGCUUUUGUGUGUUUGGAGACAAGGUGUCUUGUAGCCCAGGCUGUCCUCAAACUGUUCAUACUCUUCCCUCAGCCCGAGUUCUGGAACUGCAGGCCUAAGUUAGCAGGCCAGACUCUAGGAGGUCUUUAGUCUUGAAAGAUUUAAUGUAUGAAACUUACCAUAUUCUCUUAGAUUUUCUUCUCAUUGAUAAUUAAAAUUUUUACUGAAACCAUAA